rnacentral:rRNA from 1 species
UACAGAGGUCUCAAGCGUUGUUCGGAUUCAUUGGGCGUAAAGGGUGUGUAGGUGGCGCGCUAAGUCGGGUGUGAAGUUUCGGAGCUUAACUCCGAAACUGCAUUCGAUACUGGCGUGCUUGAGGACUGGAGAGGAGACUGGAAUUCAUGGUGUAGCAGUGAAAAUGCGUAGAGAUCAUGAGGAAGACCAGUGGCGAAGGCGGGUCUCUGGACAGUUCCUGACACUGAGACACGAAGGCCAGAGGAGCAAACGGG